rnacentral:lncRNA from 1 species
AUGUGGGUUACGCAUUUGUUUUUACUUAUGUCGUAAUGCCAUCAAUUGAAGCCCUAAUUUGUUGCCGGGGUCUGCUACAGUUGGUGGAUAUUUCGAUUAAGCUGGUUCUGGAAGUGGCGCAAAAGUUGGUGGAGAAUAAGGUUAGAACGCCUUGUGGAUAAUCAAUGGGUUCUCAACAAUUGUCCUCAUAUCACUUUUGACCCUUGCUGUGACGGCCAUGAAGUUAUGUUGUAUGAGUGUUCUGCGUUGAAGUUGCGGAGGUGGUAGCAUCCUGCGUUGUUCUUUGCAAGUCUGAUACCCUUGACUAAAAAGUCUACGAUUCAUCUUCUUCGUCGAUUCAGUAUCAAUCCAUUCGUCACACAGUGAGCUAACUCAGAGGAGCUGAGAAAGUGGAGUUUCUAAAGUCAGAGGGUGUGGAUCAUAUUGUUGAUAUCAGCAAAGAAGGUGUUAUUGAAAGUGUGAAGGCGUUUUUGAAAACAAGAAAGCUCUAAGGGGUUGAUGUUUUAUAUGAUCCAGUUGGAGGCAAGCUUGCAAAAGAAAGCUUAAAGGUGUUGAGUUGGGGAGCACAGAUUUUGGUUAUCGGGUUCACGAGUGGGGUGGUCUCAGUUAUUCCUGUUAAUAUUGCUCUUGUUAAGAAUUGGACGGUUAUUUUUGUAGUUUUGGGCAUCAUUAUUCCACUAUCUGUUUGUAUGGGGCGAUCGGUUUGAAGUGUCUUGCUUUAGAAAACUACCAAAAAUGGCACAUUUUCCCAUUUGUCGCAGGGGACAACGUUUGAACUUCAGAAGCAAAUGGAACCUUGACAAAGAUUGUUGUCUGCAAUUUUUUUAUGGUAGUUCAGUGAUACAGGCAAUUGACGAGUUUAUUUCGUGAGUGCUGCUUCUAAUGAAUUCUUCAAACAUGAGAAGGUGUUGUCAACCAAUGAAACGAUGAUAUGGAGAUAUUGCAGGACAAAAUUAAUGCUUUGUUGGGACUUAUGCAGAGAUCUAAUGAACGAUAACUUAAAAGACACUUGAAAAGCUUAAAAGAUGAAAUGUCCUCACAAAUUUACGCUCCGAGCUUAUGGCUUUAAAGUCUUGAUUUUUUUAGGUUGAUACUAGUUUUGAACUUGCAUGGUAGUUUUUUAUAUUGUUUUACAUGUUAUUUUUUCUUGUAGAACAAAAAGUCAUGAUUUCUCUAUGUUGAUCACCGAAUAUUGUAGCUCCAAAACAUGCUA